UCAUGGGUUCUUCUCAGAACCACAACAUCAUUGUUGUUGAGUAUUAU
rfam:Aedes aegypti strain Liverpool supercont1.116 genomic scaffold, whole genome shotgun sequence.